ACCAAUUUCUUAGGUCAAAUUUUGUUUACUACAUCACUUUCCACUUUGGCAUUACUUCAUAGGUGACUUUGGUAAGUAAAAUUAUGAUUUUUAUUCGUAUUUGUCAUCUAGGUACACUUUUGUUUUUCCAACAAUUGAUAUAACCGACCUGUUGCAACGGAUGAGUAAACCGUUGAAAAGAAUAAAAACAGUCCUAAUCUAUUGCAAAAUGAAGAGUAAACCGUUGGAAAGAAUAAAAACAGAUCACUAAUCAGUUAUCUGUUGGGUCAAUAUUUUUUAGAUUUCUUCCAAACAGAAGAGUCGUCUAUCGCAACAGAUGAAUGAUCUGUUAGAUUGUUCACCUGUUGCAUCAGAUUUUCAUCUGUUGCAUCAUAUGUUUCAUCUGUUACAUCAUAUGUUUCAUCUGUUGCAAUACCAUUUUUACCAAGACAAACAACAAAUCAACCCAGCAACACCAACACAUCACACACACACACUAAGAACAUCAACUGUGAUAAAAAAUCACCAAUAAAUUCGAAUCAACAGUACGACAACAAGAAGAAGAAAUGCCAGAAAUUAGGAUUUUAUUCAGUCCACAUUUUAAUGCUAGAAGAGUAAUUGGCUCAAGUUCCUCUAUUUCUUCAUAAUUUUUUACCUAUGAAAAAGGAAAUGGGACGACGAAGAAUUCGAAGUUGUUGUCGCCAGAGAAGUCUUCACGUUGAUUGACGAUUAAAAGUCGAAAAGAAACUCACCCGACUAUUUGUCGCCGGAGGUUGAAGGGAGAAAUUUUACAGAACUAUUGGUUGGAGAAAGUUGAGAGAAGCUGGAGAGAGAGAAUGAUUGAUUUGGAUUGAAGAGGGGUGUGGGUUGGGUUGAUUUGUAUUUUUGAAAAAAUUAGAAAGUUUUGAAAAUAUUAAUAAAGUCCACAAUUAACUUAAUCAAGUUUCCUAAUGAUGUUUGAUCCUUUAAGUUGGUCAAUGUCACCAAUCCUUCAUUCAAGACUUAAAAGACACCUUUUCUUCAAUUUUCUCGAGUUACCUGGUAUCCCGUAGGUUUAGUCGAGUCCUGGAGACCACAGUUAAAACAACAACAUUUUCAGUGUAUUCCCACUUAGUGGGGUCUGAGGAGGGUAAUGUGUACGAAGACCAUACCACUACCUCAGGUGAAGUAGAGACUAUUUUCGAUAGAUCUCUGGCUCAGGACAGAUAACAGUAUAACAAACACAAAACAUAAAAGCAUAUAAACUAAUAUAGUAUGCAAAAUAAACUAACACUGCUAGCUAAUACAGAAAAUAAUACAACCACAAGAUAAUACUAUAAACUAUCUAUUCAAAAUCAUAGAUAUCACUUAAACACCACGAACAGAAAACUCUAGACGCAAAGAGAGCACUCUUCCCUACUGUUACAGAUGUACUCUUACACCAUAACCCUCUACUUUAAUCCGCGUCCUCCAUACCUUCUUAUCAAGGGUCAUGUCCUCUGUAAGCUAUAACUGCUCCAUAUCAUGCCUAAUCACCGUCCUCCAAUAUUUCUAUGGCCUACCGCUACCCAUCUAAAACCGUCCAUAGCCAGCCUCUCACAACUCGGUACUAGAGCAUCCGAGACCCUCCUCAUCAUACCUCUGUACUAAAGCAGUUUGUUUAUUUUUUUUCAUCAUCUUCAUUAAAAAUCUAAGGUUUCUUUGUUACAUGUGCUUAAUUCUCAAAAUAAGGACGACCUCGACUUUCAAAGGUUUUGUAAUUUACUUUUUAAUCUGUAUUUUUUUCUCGAUUGUACUCUCUCUUAUAUAUUGUUAUACAUAGCUAUGUUAUGUGUAAGGGUAAAGACACACUUUUUUGGGGAGAUUUGCUGUAAUUUCUAUUCCAUAUACAUUGAUACGCAAUGUAUAUGGUUGACCCAUUUUGCUAUUUAUACAUGCAAGGUUAUGUGUAAGGUUAUGUAUAAGGUUUGUCAGCGGUAUGUAUAUGACUUGAAGAAUUCUCAUUUUAUAUGCAUAAGGGUUAUGUAUAAGG
rnacentral:lncRNA from 1 species